rnacentral:rRNA from 1 species
UGUUGCGGUGAAUACGUUCCCGGGUCUUGUACACACCGCCCGUCAAACCAUGAAAGUGACCAACACCCGGAGUCCGAUUCGUCGGCCUAAGGUGGGGGGCAUGAUCGGGGUU